rnacentral:rRNA from 1 species
UCGAGAAUUUUUCUCAAUGGGGGAAACCCUGAAGGAGCGACGCCGCGUGGAGGAUGAAGGUUUUCGGAUUGUAAACUCCUGUCAUUGGGGAACAAUUUUACGGUUUUAACUGAGCCGUAAUUGAUAGUACCCGAAGAGGAAGAGACGGCUAACUCUGUGCCAGCAGCCGCGGUAAUACAGAGGUCUCAAGCGUUGUUCGGAUUCAUUGGGCGUAAAGGGUGCGUAGGCUGUAGAGUAAGUUGGAUGUGAAAUCCCGGGGCUUAACCCCGGAACUGCAUUCAAUACUGCCCUACUAGAGUACUGGAGAGGAGAUUGGAAUUCACGGUGUAGCAGUGAAAUGCGUAGAUAUCGUGAGGAAGACCAGUGGCGAAGGCGAAUCUCUGGACAGUUACUGACGCUGAGGCACGAAGGCCAGGGGAGCAAACGGG